rnacentral:lncRNA from 1 species
CCUAAUAACCUUCAAUCAUCUCCAUCUUUCUACACAACCACACUGCUACAAGUAAGCCAUUCCAUUUUCUUUACAGCGAAUACACAUGGUGAUGACAGAGGAAAGAAAACUUUAGACAUCGUGGGAGGCACCAGCUGAUUAUCAAGGAGACGUGAAGUUAAGGGCUACGUUUGUCCUAGAUGGCAAUAAAAAUAAUCCCAACGCUACCCAAUAGAGUUUUGCUAAAAAAACUAGCCCACCGGGAUUGCAAUAAAAAAACGUGUUAUACAUGUGUUUUAUUUUUUAGACAAAGACUACAGCCCCAACAGCCUCUGUCCAGAUUCCGUCUAUUUAAAUAACCUGCGGUAAAAUCAAGGGUUUUGUUCAGUCUACAAGGAGGCAAUUUUGUCCAGUCCAGAAGAGUUUCUGAUAAGCCAUGGUUAUCUACGCUGUGAAGAGCCAACGUUUGGGUGAAAAUUGCGUGUUAGAAUGCACUUUACUUAAACGGCAGGGUCUCAUCAUUCCAGGACGGCCAUUCAUUUGAUAAAAGAUUGUACAAAAAAAAUUGAUUAAAUAAAGUAUUAUGUGAAACCGUA